ensembl:lncRNA
GGCCAUUUCUACCCACUGACCUUGGAGAGCGAGAGGGAGGGAGGGAGGGAGGGAGGCAUCAACAUACUGACGUGGUUCCAUAAACUGCAGGUCUCUCUCUCUCUCUUCAGCCACUCGUUUCUUUAGUCUGCCUCUAAAAGACAGGAAGACAAGCGGAGCCGGGAGGAGGAGGAGGAGUGUGUAAGGAAAUCCUGUGACUCAUGAGAAAAGAGGAUACCUGCCGUUUCACUGAUCCCAGCACAGAUUGAGAAACACUCGUUUAGAGAAGAUCAGCAGACAUCAGCGAGAUGCCGUGGACUGUAGGCCGGUAUUUGGUGGAGUGGACUGUAGGAUCAUGCUUUCAAAUUGUCAACGUGAAGGCACGUUCGUCCUUGGGCCGUGCUCCUGAACUGACUCAUUGUGGAGGAUGAAGAACGGGACCAAUCACGGCCGCUCCGUGUGAAUGCACUGAACCGUCGUGACCUCGGCCUCCCGCUGGGUCAACGAGUCCACGUCGGCCCGUAAGGGUCUCGAUUAAAAUGUCAUGUUGCGUCGGUCAAGGACACUUCAGCUCUGAUGCAGAAUGAGCAAAUAGCACCUGAGCCCGGUUUAUGUUGUCCUAUGUGAUAAGCUCAAGAAAAGGAUCAAUCAAGUUGUUGUUGUUUUUUUCUAUAUUAUUAAGAAACAUAUUUCCAGAAGAUCUUUUUUUAUUUGUUCUGCAGGAGAGCGUCAUACAGUACAUACAUCUGUCAGACCAAUGACAUGC